GAGGGUAUAGCUAAGUGGCAGAGCGCAUGCUUAGCAUACAUAAGGUCCUGGGUUCAAUCCUCAGUACCUCCU
rnacentral:tRNA from 1 species